GAUGAACGCUGGCGGCGUGCUUAACACAUGCAAGUCGAACGAUGAAGCCCAGCUUGCUGGGUGGAUUAGUGGCGAACGGGUGAGUAACACGUGAGUAACCUGCCCUUGACUCUGGGAUAAGCCUGGGAAACUGGGUCUAAUACUGGAUAUGACUUCUCACCGCAUGGUGGGGGGUGGAAAGAUUUAUUGGUCUUGGAUGGACUCGCGGCCUAUCAGCUUGUUGGUGAGGUAAUGGCUCACCAAGGCGACGACGGGUAGCCGGCCUGAGAGGGUGACCGGCCACACUGAGACUGAGACACGGCCCAGACUCCUACGGGAGGCAGCAGUGGAGAAUAUUGCACAAUGGGCGCAAGCCUGAUGCAGCGACGCCGCGUGAGGGAUGACGGCCUUCGGGUUGUAAACCUCUUUCAGUAGGGAAGAAGCGAAAGUGACGGUACCUGCAGAAGAAGCGCCGGCUAACUACGUGCCAGCAGCCGCGGUAAUACGUAGGGCGCGAGCGUUAUCCGGAAUUAUUGGGCGUAAAGAGCUCGUAAGCGGUUUGUCGCGUCUGCCGUGAAAGUCCGGGGCUUAACCCCCGGAUCUGCGGUGGGUACGGGCAGACUAGAGUGCAGUAGGGGAGACUGGAAUUCCUGGUGUAGCGGUGAAAUGCGCAGAUAUCAGGAGGAACACCGAUGGCGAAGGCAGGUCUCUGGGCUGUAACUGACGCUGAGGAGCGAAAGCAUGGGGAGCGAACAGGAUUAGAUACCCUGGUAGUCCAUGCCGUAAACGUUGGGCACUAGGUGUGGGGGACAUUCCACGUUUUCCGCGCCGUAGCUAACGCAUUAAGUGCCCCGCCUGGGGAGUACGGCCGCAAGGCUAAAACUCAAAGGAAUUGACGGGGGCCCGCACAAGCGGCGGAGCAUGCGGAUUAAUUCGAUGCAACGCGAAGAACCUUACCAAGGCUUGACAUGUUCCUGACCGCCGUAGAGAUACGGUUUCCCCUUUGGGGCAGGUUCACAGGUGGUGCAUGGUUGUCGUCAGCUCGUGUCGUGAGAUGUUGGGUUAAGUCCCGCAACGAGCGCAACCCUCGUUCCAUGUUGCCAGCACGUAGUGGUGGGGACUCAUGGGAGACUGCCGGGGUCAACUCGGAGGAAGGUGGGGACGACGUCAAAUCAUCAUGCCCCUUAUGUCUUGGGCUUCACGCAUGCUACAAUGGCCGGUACAAUGGGUUGCGAUACUGUGAGGUGGAGCUAAUCCCAAAAAGCCGGUCUCAGUUCGGAUUGGGGUCUGCAACUCGACCCCAUGAAGUCGGAGUCGCUAGUAAUCGCAGAUCAGCAACGCUGCGGUGAAUACGUUCCCGGGCCU
rnacentral:rRNA from 1 species